GACGAAGGGGGCUAGCGUUGUUCGGAAUUACUGGGCGUAAAGCGCGUGUAGGCGGUUGUUCAAGUCGGGUGUGAAAGCCUUGAGCUCAACUCAAGAAAUGCACUCGGUACUGGAUGACUAGAGGACCGGAGAGGAUAGUGGAAUUCCCAGUGUAGUGGUGAAAUACGUAGAGAUUGGGAAGAACACCAGUGGCGAAGGCGGCUAUCUGGACGGUUUCUGACGCUAAGACUCGAAAGCGUGGGGAGCAAACAGG
rnacentral:rRNA from 1 species